rnacentral:SRP_RNA from 1 species
GCUGGGCGUGGUGGCGUGCGCCUGUAAUUCCAGCUACCCAGGAGGCUGAGGCAGGAGAAUUGCUUGAACCCAGGAGGCGGAGCUUGCAGUGAGCCCAGAUCACGCCACUGUACUCCAGCCUGGGUGACAGAGCGAAACUCUGUCUCAA